AUAUUAAAGGUGGGAUAUAUUUUUCUAUUGAAAGGGCAUUUGGUAUUUUUGUGAUUUUAAAAUAAUUAAGGUUAUUUAUGUAACAUUUUGGCCCAAGCAGAAAAUUAUGGGCACCUCAACUCAGCCUGUAAUUAUUUAAAAAUUUCCCAAAAUAACUGCAUUACUGAAAAAUACUAGAUACUAAACCUAUGCAGUUGCUGCACAUGUCAUUAUGCACAAUUAAUGAAACUUUCAGAAUAGAAAGUUAUGAUAUGAACCAAAUAACCAUACAACCCCCUUGACUAAUUCUAAGCAUAAAAUACAUACAUAUACAAUUUGUUAUAUUCAGAUAGCCUGUUGUAAUGGAAUGAGUAGCAGGGCAAUAUACAUACAUGUAUCCUUUAUGCCUUACAAGCAAGCGUUCAUUAGAGCUGAUUGGAUGCAGAAGAUGCAGUAAUAUAUUCAUUUUCGAGGCUUGUGUAAUACUAGUUUUCUGGCCAGUGUGACCUAGUGACUGAUUUGUUAUUAAAACGCAUGCAAAAUGACUUCAUUAAAUGCUCAUUUGUCUGUUUCUUUAGGUUCUGUCAGAGUUCUUUCGCUUAACCAGCAAAAACCUCAAAAUCGAGUUUUUCAAAGAACUGGACAAAUACACUCCUCGCUGUCUUGACAUUUUCAAGUCCAAGGGUGGAUGUACCGGCCAGAUACUUAAGGCGUAUUUGCAUCAUCAAAUCGCACUGGGGAAUACAGAUGUUACUGCUAAGUGAACAGCAGUCCUCCGUAGCCUUCCCAUCCUCCCUGGAGAUGAGAACAAAGACUUCUUCAAGACAUACUUUGUAAGUAGUUUCAGGUGCUAAUUUACAGUGGCCGAGUAGGCUUGUCGCGAUAGUCGGUGUAACGGUGAUUACCAGUGUGUCAGCCUCUUAAGGGUUAGAUCACUUGCCCACCGCAACACCGUCUUUCACCGUCGUUUUGAUAUUUUUUUGUAAUUAAAUCAUUUAGUUUCAUUAGAGAGAGCAAACAUGAAUGUGUCUUCUGCCUGAAUUCAGCAGAGCUGAACGCGCAUCAUCACAGAGCAGCCGGUGUCAGAUUUCAUUUAUUCCUGUCAGAGUGUGUGAGGCGAGCGACUGACCAGACGAUGGCAGAAGCCGUAUGCUUACUCAUUUUUGUUAUAAUAUACAUAUAUGAUGUUUAAUGUAAGCGAGAUUGUUUUG